rnacentral:rRNA from 1 species
UACGUAGGGUGCGAGCGUUGUCCGGAAUUAUUGGGCGUAAAGGGCUCGUAGGCGGUUUGUCGCGUCGGGAGUGAAAACACCGGGCUUAACUCGGUGCUUGCUUUCGAUACGGGCAGACUGGGGGUAUGCAGGGGAGAACGGAAUUCCUGGCGUAGCGGUGAAAUGCGCAGAUAUCAGGAGGAACACCGGUGGCGAAGGCGGUUCUCUGGGCAUGUCCUGACGCUGAGGAGCGAAAGUGUGGGGAGCGAACAGG